AUCGACAUCAACACCGCCAUUGUUUUCGUCAUUGUCUCCUUCGUCAGCACGUCAUCGGUGGAGUUAUGAAUAGAGGACGAGGUGAUCGUGGAGCCUCUCUUCUGCUUCUGUGUCAUCUUCCAGGGUUCUUCCGCUAGUUCUGCUUUUGCUCCGGUGGCUUGAAGCACUCAAAGCGUGGUUUCGGCGCGGACGCGGUGGCAUUGGUUGAGGAAAUCUGGAAGGCGAGUGAGCGGGAGUGUCUAGAAGCUUCAAUUGAAGCUGCUUUCGAAGCUAUCAGAUCUCGUGGAACUGAUUUUCAUGUUGUUCCAAGUCAUUGCGAUUGCUAUUUCUGCACCUCUUCUAUGGAUUUUGUGAACUGAAUUGCAGAGAAAGAAAGAAUUGCCUCAACUCAAGCUUCUCACAACUUCCAAAGUGAACGAUAACUGAACAAUCACACAACUGAUGCUCUCAUUACGGAUUUAGGAUCAGCAUCUGCUACAAUUAAUGAUAGCAAGAAAAUUUCACGCCAAGACAUUGAGCUUGUAAGCAAAUUCUACUAGCUUGUCAGGAAGCUAAUUUAAAAAAA